rnacentral:rRNA from 1 species
UUUGAUUAUGGAUCAGGAUGAACGCUAGCUACAGGCUUAACACAUGCAAGUCGAGGGGCAGCAUUUUAGUUUGCUUGCAAACUAAAGAUGGCGACCGGCGCACGGGUGAGUAACACGUAUCCAACCUGCCGAUAACUCGGGGAUAGCCUUUCGAAAGAAAGAUUAAUAUCCGAUAGUAUAUUAAAACCGCAUGGUUUUACUAUUAAAGAAUUUCGGUUAUCGAUGGGGAUGCGUUCCAUUAGUUUGUUGGCGGGGUAACGGCCCACCAAGACUACGAUGGAUAGGGGUUCUGAGAGGAAGGUCCCCCACAUUGGAACUGAGACACGGUCCAAACUCCUACGGGAGGCAGCAGUGAGGAAUAUUGGUCAAUGGACGAGAGUCUGAACCAGCCAAGUAGCGUGAAGGAUGACUGCCCUAUGGGUUGUAAACUUCUUUUAUAUGGGAAUAAAGUAUUCCACGUGUGGGAUUUUGUAUGUACCAUAUGAAUAAGGAUCGGCUAACUCCGUGCCAGCAGCCGCGGUAAUACGGAGGAUCCGAGCGUUAUCCGGAUUUAUUGGGUUUAAAGGGAGCGUAGGUGGAUUGUUAAGUCAGUUGUGAAAGUUUGCGGCUCAACCGUAAAAUUGCAGUUGAAACUGGCAGUCUUGAGUACAGUAGAGGUGGGCGGAAUUCGUGGUGUAGCGGUGAAAUGCUUAGAUAUCACGAAGAACUCCGAUUGCGAAGGCAGCUCACUAGACUGCAACUGACACUGAUGCUCGAAAGUGUGGGUAUCAAACAGGAUUAGAUACCCUGGUAGUCCACACAGUAAACGAUGAAUACUCGCUGUUUGCGAUAUACAGUAAGCGGCCAAGCGAAAGCAUUAAGUAUUCCACCUGGGGAGUACGCCGGCAACGGUGAAACUCAAAGGAAUUGACGGGGGCCCGCACAAGCGGAGGAACAUGUGGUUUAAUUCGAUGAUACGCGAGGAACCUUACCCGGGCUUAAAUUGCAUUUGAAUAAUCUGGAAACAGGUUAGCCGCAAGGCAAAUGUGAAGGUGCUGCAUGGUUGUCGUCAGCUCGUGCCGUGAGGUGUCGGCUUAAGUGCCAUAACGAGCGCAACCCUUAUCUUUAGUUACUAACAGGUCAUGCUGAGGACUCUAGAGAGACUGCCGUCGUAAGAUGUGAGGAAGGUGGGGAUGACGUCAAAUCAGCACGGCCCUUACGUCCGGGGCUACACACGUGUUACAAUGGGGGGUACAGAAGGCAGCUACCUGGCGACAGGAUGCUAAUCCCAAAAACCUCUCUCAGUUCGGAUCGAAGUCUGCAACCCGACUUCGUGAAGCUGGAUUCGCUAGUAAUCGCGCAUCAGCCAUGGCGCGGUGAAUACGUUCCCGGGCCUUGUACACACCGCCCGUCAAGCCAUGAAAGCCGGGGGUACCUGAAGUACGUAACCGCAAGGAGCGUCCUAGGGUAAAACUGGUAAUUGGGGCUAAGUCGUAACAAGGUAACC